rnacentral:lncRNA from 1 species
AUGGUGGUGGAGAACGCUGAGUUUCUGAGCACUUUCCCAGGGAAUGAGCAAGAUAGCUACCAUCACUCAGAUGAUUCUGAUGGACUAGGCGUACUGUGCAUGUCACGGCAGCAGCUUCUUAUCCUCACUAUGAGUGUGUGCAUCUCGUUCACAGAAGAGUCCCAGAAGUGUUUACUGAGUGAACCAAUGAUCUCCAAGUGUACAUUUCCUAUUCCUUCAGUUCAGUUCCUGGCUUUGAUUUGGGGUGCACCCCUCCAGGUCACAGACAACCAGACCCCAAUGGUGGUUCAAGGGAGAGCAGGUGAUGUGAUCCUACCCCAUGGAGUAGACUUCAGGGCUUCUGUGAGAGCUUCUGGUAAAGAGAAUACAUGGCUGGAGCAUCUUGCUGCCAGGUAAAGUCUGAGACUGGAGCCAGUUUGGCAAAGAGAAAUAUACAUGUAUACACACCCCACUCACUCAUACAUGC